GCACUUGGAGCCCAGGGCAGGGUUCACAGAGCUAUUUUGAGUUCUCUUGCAGGAUCUCCUUCCCAGCCUUCAGAAGUUGCCGGUCUGGGAGUUGGGGGCCAGGAGAAGAUCCUGCAACCCAGUGAUUCCAUGGAAAGCAGAAAGAAGAACAUAAAGAAACGGAUACUUGGUGACAUCUUUGACUUGCUGGAUCAAACCUUGCCUGAAGCUCACAUUUCUGAAAUUUCCAGAUACAAGAACAAAUAAUUUCUCUUUAUUGUUUUACUAGAUUUGAGACAAGCUUUAAGUUUCUCAGACUCUUCCUCUUCCUAACAGAUUUAUCAGAAGCUGAAAGCUCUGAUCUUGUUGGGAUGCGGAUCUCGUCAGGAGAAGGCUUACUUUGCACGCUUUUCUUAGUCUGUUGCCUAACUCAAGAACCUCGGCACGGCUCUGUUACUUCUCUACUCAGACAAGCAUCCCUGCAGACACUCACUAGGCUAACUCUGUCUUUAUUUUUAGAAUUAGACCUUUACAAGAAGCACAGUUUUGUCUUCAGUUUCCUCUCCCCCCACCUGGAAUGGCCUGAGCCGAAGCCAGCUCCCUCCGAGAAGUCAUUACCGCCUGACUUGCGUUUGAUAUUUAGACACCUUGGUCACAACAUCUUGCGUUCUCUCAGGAUGCUCAGGCAGGGGAUCCCUGCUCUUCUGUAUUAAUGAGAAAACCAAGGCUCAGAGAAACUAUGGAUUUUCUAAGGAUGCUGGCUCUCCGUCCCCUGUCCACCAUGAGUCAAAGCAACAUGAGUCCCUUACCAGAUGCAACUGCCCAGUCUUGGACUUUCCAGUGACCAGAAUCAUGAGCCAAAUAAACCUCUUUUCUUUAUG
rnacentral:antisense_RNA from 1 species